CACAGGUUACAAAUAAUAAUAUUCGAUAAUAUUGUUAGAGGACGAUAAUACUAAAACAAAUUUCGAUUAGGGUGAAAUGAUAAAAAUCCAUGACAGGAAAAUUUCAUCAAAAUGAAAUUUGAAACUGCUACCAGUAAUAAUAGUAAUACUGCUACCCAUAAUAUUUAGUAAGUGAAAUAAAUUUUUAUUUAGGACUCAUUUCAUUAGUUGCAUAAACAUUCGCAAUCGACUUUACCAUCAUAUGUCAUAUUUCAGAGACAUACUCACUAUUGUUUUAUUAUUUGUGCUGACGUUUGCCAAGAACCUGACAUCAGUAGAAUUUUCAAUAUACCUCGACCAUUCUGCUUUUAACAUUUUAGAGAAAAUAGUAACAACUGAUGGUCAAAAUUUUCCAUUCUUGUAAUCGAUUUAAGGUACAUGUUUCUUAAUAAUUCUGACUACAGAUGUCAGCAAUGUACAAUAAUACAGAUAAUAGAAAAUAGCAGCGUUGCCUGUUUAUUUUGUACAUUUGUUAUUUAUACAUUAUUAAUUUGUACAUUAUAUUAGCAAAUUGUGCGAGGACAAUUACAAAUCUUAGAAAAGGUAUUAGACUAUUCAUUCAAAUUGAUAAAAUAAUAUUCGAUGUAGAGAUUCGGAUAAAAUCUUACAUUUACAUGUUAAAAUAACUCCUGCUUGUUAUAUAUAAAUCUUUCCCGUGCUACGCGAUAUGAUAUAAUUGAUGAGCUUUUAUUGGCAUUCUGUAUCAUGUUCUCUGUUUUCUUUAAUAAAUUCUCGUAAAAGAUAGAUUGAUAUUCGAUGUGUUAAGAAACGUAUUUUUGACAUUUUAUUUAUAUAGGUAGGUAUAUGUUUGUCGUGUCAUGUAUAGUAUAGGUGUAGGUGUCAUUAUUUUACAAAAUUGUUUAGUGUUUUCUAGUGUGUGCAUGCUAGUGUGUAGGUAAACUGUUUGUGAAUGUAACGUGUGUACAUAAUACGUUAUGUGUGAUUAUAACGUAGCGUGUAGUGUAUUUAAGUGUUUGCUUUCGACUAAUAGUUAUAGUUUAUCGACAGGACUUCGCAUUUACGUAUACAAGAGUACAACGACGUUUCAGUAUCAUAUCCUAGGGAAAAAUGGGUCACUACAUUAUCGCAGUGUAUCUAGGAUACAUUUUCGUAGACAUUCGAUGAGAAAGCAAU